UACGAAGGGGGCUAGCGUUGUUCGGAAUUACUGGGCGUAAAGCGCGCGCAGGCGGUCUUCCAAGUCAGUGGUGAAAGCCCGGAGCUCAACUCCGGAACUGCCAUUGAAACUGUAAGACUUGAGGAUGAGAGAGGUGAGUGGAAUUCCCGGUGUAGUGGUGAAAUGCGUAGAUAUCGGGAGGAACACCAGUGGCGAAGGCGGCAUCCUGGACCGAUAUUGACGCUGAUGCGCGAAAGCCAGGGGAGCAAACGGG
rnacentral:rRNA from 1 species